UGGGGAAUUUUCCGCAAUGGGCGAAAGCCUGACGGAGCAACGCCGCGUGAGGGAUGAAGGCCUCUGGGCUGUAAACCUCUUUUCUCAAGGAAGAAGAUCUGACGGUACUUGAGGAAUAAGCCACGGCUAAUUCCGUGCCAGCAGCCGCGGUAAUACGGGAGUGGCAAGCGUUAUCCGGAAUUAUUGGGCGUAAAGCGUCCGCAGGCGGCCCUGUAAGUCUGUCGUUAAAGCGUGGAGCUUAACUCCAUUUCAGCGAUGGAAACUACAGGGCUUGAGUGUGGUAGGGGCAGAGGGAAUUCCCGGUGUAGCGGUGAAAUGCGUAGAUAUCGGGAAGAACACCAGUGGCGAAGGCGCUCUGCUGGGCCAUAACUGACGCUCAUGGACGAAAGCCAGGGGAGCGAAAGGGAUUAGAUACCCCUGUAGUC
rnacentral:rRNA from 1 species